UCCCUGGUGGUCCAGUGGCUAAGACUCCGAGCUCCCAAUGCAGGGGGCCUGGGUUCAACCCCUAGUCAGGGAA
rnacentral:tRNA from 1 species